AGUGAACGCUGGCGGUAGGCCUAACACAUGCAAGUCGAACGGCAGCACAGUAAGAGCUUGCUCUUACGGGUGGCGAGUGGCGGACGGGUGAGGAAUACAUCGGAAUCUACUUUUUCGUGGGGGAUAACGUAGGGAAACUUACGCUAAUACCGCAUACGACCUACGGGUGAAAGCAGGGGAUCUUCGGACCUUGCGCGAUUGAAUGAGCCGAUGUCGGAUUAGCUAGUUGGCGGGGUAAAGGCCCACCAAGGCGACGAUCCGUAGCUGGUCUGAGAGGAUGAUGAGCCACACUGGAACUGAGACACGGACCAGACUCCUACAGGAGGCAGCAGUGGGGAAUAUUGGACAAAGGGCGCAAGCCUGAUCCAGCCAUACCGCGUGGGUGAAGAAGGCCUUCGGGUUGUACAGCCCUUUUGUUGGGAAAGAAAAGCAGCAGGUUAAUACCCCGCUGUUCUGACGGUACCCAAAGAAUAAGCACCGGCUAACUUCGUG
rnacentral:rRNA from 1 species